UACGUAGGAUGCAAGCGUUGUCCGGAAUUAUUGGGCGUAAAGAGCGCGCAGGCGGUCUAUCAAGUCAGAUGUGAAAUAUCCGGGCUUAACCCGGAGGGGUCAUUUGAAACUGGUAGACUAGAGUACAGCAGAGGAUAGCGGAAUUCCCGGUGUAGUGGUGAAAUGCGUAGAUAUCGGGAGGAACACCAGUGGCGAAGGCGGCUAUCUGGGCUGAAACUGACGCUGAGGCGCGAAGGCUAGGGGAGCAAACAGG
rnacentral:rRNA from 1 species